rnacentral:tRNA from 1 species
GGUGGAGCUCAGUGGUAAAUGGUAGAGCACUUGCCUACCAUGUAGGUAGCCUGGGUUCGAUCCCUAGCACC